rnacentral:rRNA from 1 species
GACGAACGCUGGCGGCGUGCUCAACACAUGCAAGUCGAGCGGUAAGGCCCUUUCGGGGGUACACGAGCGGCGAACGGGUGAGUAACACGUAGGGUGACCUGCCCUUAGCUCUGGGAUAAGCCUGGGAAACUGGGUCUAAUACCGGAUAUGACUCCAUAACGCAUGUUGUGGGGUGGAAAGCCUUGUGCGGCUAGGGAUGGGCCCGCGGCCUAUCAGCUUGU